rnacentral:rRNA from 1 species
CCUACGGGAGGCAGCAGUGGGGAAUCUUGCGCAAUGCGCGAAAGCGUGACGCAGCAACACCGCGUGAGGGAAGACGGCCUUCGGGUUGUAAACCUCUUUCAGGAGGGACGAAGGCUGGCCGGUUAACAGCCGUGCCGGCUGACGGUACCUCCACAAGAAGCACCGGCUAACUACGUGCCAGCAGCCGCGGUAA